UACGUAGGGGGCAAGCGUUGUCCGGAAUCAUUGGGCGUAAAGAGCUCGUAGGCGGUUCGUCGCGUCGGCUGUGAAAACCCGGAGCUCAACUCCGGGCCUGCAGUCGAUACGGGCGGACUUGAGUGUUGCAGGGGAGACUGGAAUUCCUGGUGUAGCGGUGAAAUGCGCAGAUAUCAGGAGGAACACCGGUGGCGAAGGCGGGUCUCUGGGCAACUACUGACGCUGAGGAGCGAAAGCGUGGGGAGCGAACAGG
rnacentral:rRNA from 1 species